rnacentral:rRNA from 1 species
CACGUAGUUAGCCGGUGCUUUUUCUGCAGGUACCGUCAAACCGAAGUCCUUCUUCCCUACUAAAAGAGGUUUACAACCCGAAGGCCGUCAUCCCCCACGCGGCGUUGCUGCAUCAGGCUUUCGCCCAUUGUGCAAUAUUCCCCACUGCUGCCUCCCGUAGGAGUCUGGGCCGUGUCUCAGUCCCAGUGUGGCCGGUCACCCUCUCAGGCCGGCUACCCGUCGUCGCCUUGGUGAGCCAUUACCUCACCAACAAGCUGAUAGGCCGCGAGUCCAUCCUUGACCGAAAAACUUUCCACCCGCACCCGAUGCCGGGGCAGGUCGUAUCCGGUAUUAGACGCCGUUUCCAGCGCUUAUCCCAGAGUCAAGGGCAGGUUACUCACGUGUUACUCACCCGUUCGCCACUAAUCCACCCAGCAAGCUGGGCUUCAUCGUUCGACUUGCAUGUGUUAAGCACGCCGCCAGCGUUCGUCCUGAGCCAGGAUCAAACUCU